GAUGAACGCUGGCGGCGUGCUUUAACACAUGCAAGUCGAACGGGAAACAUUUUAUUGAAGCUUCGGCAGAUUUAGUUUGUUUCCAGUGGCGGACGGGUGAGUAAACACGUAUGCAACCUGCCCGCCACAGGGGGAUAACCGGGAGAAAUCCCGACUAAUACCGCGUAGACCGAGAGGGGGCAUCCCGACGCGGGGAAGGAUUCGGUCCGGUGGCGGAUGGGCAUGCGGCGCAUUAGCUAGUUGGCGGGGCAACGGCCCACCAAGGCGAUGAUCAGUAGCCGGUCUGAGAGGAUGAACGGCCACAUUGGGACUGAGACACGGCCCAGACUCCUACGGGAGGCAGCAGUGGGGAAUAUUGCACAAUGGGGGAAACCCUGAUGCAGCGACGCCGCGUGAAGGAAGAAAGUAUCUCGGUAUGUAAACUUCUAUCAGCAGGGAAGAUAGUGACGGUACCUGACUAAGAAGCCCCGGCUAACUACGUGCCAGCCG
rnacentral:rRNA from 1 species